GACGGAGGGUGCAAACGUUGUUCGGAAUCACUGGGCAUAAAGAGCACAUAGGCUGCGCGCUAAGUCAGGUGUGAAAUCCCACGGCUCAACCGGGGAACUGCACCUGAUACUGGCGUGCUCGAGGACGGUAGGGGUGAGUGGAACUCCAGGUGGAGCGGUGAAAUGCGUAGAUAUCUGGAGGAACACCGGUGGCGAAGGCGGCACUCUGGGCCGAUACUGACGCUGAGGAGCGAAAGCGUGGGGAGCGAACAGG
rnacentral:rRNA from 1 species